UGGGGAGAGGGCGGGUAGGCCUUAACCAUGCCAAGUCGAACGGCAGCACAGUAAGAGCUUGCUCUUAUGGGUGGCGAGUGGCGGACGGGUGAGGAAUACAUCGGAAUCUACCUUUUCGUGGGGGAUAACGUAGGGAAACUUACGCUAAUACCGCAUACGACCUUCGGGUGAAAGCAGGGGACCUUCGGGCCUUGCGCGGAUAGAUGAGCCGAUGUCGGAUUAGCUAGUUGGCGGGGUAAAGGCCCACCAAGGCGACGAUCCGUAGCUGGUCUGAGAGGAUGAUCAGCCACACUGGAACUGAGACACGGUCCAGACUCCUACGGGAGGCAGCAGUGGGGAAUAUUGGACAAUGGGCGCAAGCCUGAUCCAGCCAUACCGCGUGGGUGAAGAAGGCCUUCGGGUUGUAAAGCCCUUUUGUUGGGAAAGAAAAGCAAUCGAUUAAUACCCGGUUGUUCUGACGGUACCCAAAGAAUAAGCACCGGCUAACUUCGUGCCAGCAGCCGCGGUAAUACGAAGGGUGCAAGCGUUACUCGGAAUUACUGGGCGUAAAGCGUGCGUAGGUGGUUGUUUAAGUCUGUUGUGAAAGCCCUGGGCUCAACCUGGGAAUUGCAGUGGAUACUGGGCAACUAGAGUGUGGUAGAGGGUAGUGGAAUUCCCGGUGUAGCAGUGAAAUGCGUAGAGAUCGGGAGGAACAUCCAUGGCGAAGGCAGCUACCUGGACCAACACUGACACUGAGGCACGAAAGCGUGGGGAGCAAACAGGAUUAGAUACCCUGGUAGUCCACGCCCUAAACGAUGCGAACUGGAUGUUGGGUGCAAUUUGGGCACGCAGUAUCGAAGCUAACGCGUUUAAGUUCGCCGCCUGGGGAGUACGGUCGCAAGACUGAAACUCAAAGGAAUUUGACGGGGGCCCGCACAGCGGUGGAGUAUGUGGUUUAAUUUCGAUGCAACGCGAAGAACCUUACUCUGGUCUUUGACAUGUCGAGAACUUUCCAGAGAUGGAUUGGUGCCUCGGUAACUCGAACACAGUGCUGCAUGGCUGUCGUCACCUCGUGUCGUGGAGAAUGUUGGGAUUAAGUCCCGCAACGAGCGCAAACCUUGUCCCUUAGUUUGCCCAUAUGUAUGGUGGACUCUAAGAGACUGCGGUGACAAACCGGAGGAGUGGGGAUGACGUCCAGUCAUCUUGUCCUUACCAACAAGCCUACCAGGUAACUUACAUGUUAGUACAAGAGGGCUGUCAAACCUGCGCACCAGAGGAGCACAAG
rnacentral:rRNA from 1 species